AGCCUUUUCAAUUAAGGUUACAGUAUAUUUUGUUUGUUUAUUUUUUCUUUUAAUCUUUGACCUGCACGCCUGCCUGCAGACCCAACCUGGGGAUUCGUUUGUCAAGUUCUUUUGUUUGUUUAUUUUCACGCUGGUUUAACAGCAUAAAGACUCGUGUGUUUACCCUGCAUUUGCGUCCGCCUUCUUGUAUGGCAAACAUGACAUGCAUUAUUCUUACUGCAAUUACUAGAGAUUCUAUGGCCAAUAUAAAGAACACAGGAUGUAUCCCUGAGUGCCUUAAAGCAUUUAAGAGCGCAGAAGCCUAUCAACUCUUCAUGUCAGGUCGGGUCCCAGGAGGUUUUACCAGGAAGAAGGAAAGAAAAAGUCAUUUUUAUCAUUAAAGGACGGACAGCUCCUGUAUCUUAAUGAGAUUUUGGUUUGGACUGGGAUCAAUGGGACCCAACACAAAGCGGCUUGUGUUUACUUUUAUUCAGGUGGGAGCAGCGGGUCAGAUAUGAAACUUGUCCUUGAACAAAGGAAGGCCGUGUUGCUUACAGUACCAUGGAUGUGGAAAUGAUGUGUCGUGAUGCUUGUGCCGUGCUGCAUAAUGCAUUCGACACAUUUGUCAGUGUACUUUAAAUGAUGUAAUAUGUAUUAGGCAAAUAGGCCCUGCGAUGGACUGGAAGUAUUCCUGUGUUCCUGAGAUUUGUCAUAAAUUCCCUUGUGGGUAACAGGGUGGUAACUGCUGCUUGUGCUUAUUCUUCCAUGUGAUUUUCAUUGUGUUUUUGUCAUGUUCCUUUGUUUUCCACGUCAUUUCAUUUGGGUUUUGUUCACUUGACAUUGUUAGCCCUUGUUUAUUUUGUCUGGUAAUACUUUGUUGUGUCUAAGUCUCGUUGCAAAGUAUUGCCAACUGUAUUGUGCAUUUUUGAGCUUUUCUUAGUUUUGACCCACGCCUGUAUGUUUAACUUACCUCUUGGAUAAGCUGUGUAUUUUCUUCAGUCUGCCUGUCUGU